rnacentral:tRNA from 2 species
GAGGCGUUGGUGCAGGAGGCGCUCGCCCGCCUGCUGCGCGGGCGGACCACGUUCGUCGUGGCGCACCG